GGGCGCAUGGUUUAGUGGUAUAACACUCCCUUAGCAUGUUCCGGACAGCCGGAUCAUUCGUGAUAAUUUGGGAGAGGUCUGGGGUUCGAUUCCCCAUGUGUCCA
rnacentral:tRNA from 1 species